UACAGAGGGUGCAAGCGUUGUUCGGAAUUAUUGGGCGUAAAGCGCGUGUAGGCGGCUUGGCAAGUCGGGUGUGAAAGCCCUCAGCUCAACUGAGGAAGUGCGCCCGAAACUGCUGAGCUCGAGUGCCGGAGAGGGUGGCGGAAUUCCCCAAGUAGAGGUGAAAUUCGUAGAGAUGGGGAGGAACACCGGUGGCGAAGGCGGCCACCUGGACGGUCACUGACGCUGAGACGCGAAAGCGUGGGGAGCAAACAGG
rnacentral:rRNA from 1 species